UGCUGCAGCUCUCCAGCCCUUUGUUUGCUCGGGGAACUUGAACAAAAGGAAAAGUCUGAAGAACUCUUUAUCUGCAUCCAUAUCUUGCACUCAGUCCUUCUCUGACAUGCCAGGCAAUGCUUGUGUAGCUCACAAGCCCCACACGGCUUUGGAAAGUUCAGCCUCAUUGUUACCUGGAGUCACAAAGAGCUUUUGAAGUUUGCUUGAUAGAGCUCAGAGUGCAUGGAAUGAAAGCAUGAAAAGUUCCUAAAUGAAACUUUUGAAGGUUCUCAAAGUUUUCAUCAUGGGCUUACUACAAAAGAUGUCCAGAGAAUCUGCUGUGUACUUUUCUCACCCAUGGAUAUAGUAUCUUUGCCAAAUUGAUCGUGGAUAUACAAAUACAUUAUUUUAUGGAAAUUAAGAAAAGUCUGCAGACGAAUUUGCUUAUGUAAAAGAAGAUAACCAAGGUUGAUAAAGCUGGUAAAGGAUAAGAGACCACCCAGUCUGUUCCACCAGCAUCUGGAUGAAACUGACACUUUUGGAGGGAGGGAAGCUGGCAAUGUGAGCUAUUUCUAAGUGGGACUUCAGAUGAAAAGAACACAGAGAGUGAGAGGAGCGACAACUUUGUUUUACUGGACUCUGCUAUGUUGGUGUGAGCCAUACACAGAAGCGGGUCCGGCUCUUUCAGAAAACCGGUUCUGGGCAUAUUCUUCAUGGCAACACAGCUUAACAAAUAAUCAAAAGGACAAGCAAUAAAACAACAAGAACAACACAAACCCUUCAUUUUCAAUAAAGUAAAAAGUGAAAAGGCAGUUGUGUGGCACCUUUUUUCCCACACACACCUCCCCAGUAAAUAAAAUUUCCCUUUUCCACUAAAGAUCUCUUGUCCCAGGGGGUGUGAUCAUGAGUGAACUACGUGGUUCAGACCUGUCUGUGAAUAACCUGUUACCAUGGAUGCUGUUUUACGUCGCAAAGACCCAAAAAAUUCCUAAGAAAUAAUGUUUGUGAAGCAUAUAUUGCCACUGAUUUAUUUUCUGCUUUACUUUAUAUGUACAGAAUUUGAAUUUUCACUAUAGUCAUGACCAGUAUGUAUUCCAUAACAUUCCAUAACACUCCAUGAUAAACAUUACACCGAAAAGCCAAAAAACUUGGCUUUCUAAGGACAUGCAUUAAAAGUCAAACAAUAUUAUCUUUUUACUAAAUAUUACCUUGAAGCAGGUGGGAGCAACAUAGUCCUUCUGGAUCAGAUUAUGGCCACUCUGAUCCCUGUUGACCUCCUCUGCUGGUCCUUUCCAGAGCCAUAGUACAAAGAGCACUUUUGAUCUCUUCGAAGCUCAGCUCUGGAAAUUGCGCAUUCUCCUCUGCUACUUUUUAUCGCAUUUUUGUAAAUGAAAUAAUUUCCAUAUGAUUAAGUCCUUCAAAUUGGCACCUCACCUUAAUUCUACCUUAGAGAGUGCAUCUUCUAAUGUACUGUAUAUUCCCUAGAAUAACCUGUUGGGGGUUAUUUGCUGCCACUUCAAGUGUGGACAUAGCGCUCUCUCUCACUACUUAGAUACAUUUAGCUAUACCCAAGACACAGCGGAUUUUAUUUCUAGGCAUGAUUAAAUCUAAUGUGAUUCUUUUUCCCCCUGUCUUCUAGACAAAGAGUAGGUCAUUUGUGAAUACUUCACUAAAUAUGUAAAGUAUUCUUUAUUUAUGCAUGAGCAUUAUUGUACCCAACUUUAAUUUAUUAUGAAUGAGUAUUUAUAAGAAAAAUAAAAUGUGUCCCUUCUUGGCUGUUGGGUUCCAUGUUGACAAAGAUCGUGUGAGGCACAAGACAGAAGUUAUACUAUUUGUGUGAGUUUGUGGCAGAAUUGCUUUGACAUAUCACUAUGUUUAGAUGAAGAAGUGUAGGGAAGAAAACAAGAGGGAAUGAAAGAAUAAUUAUGACCAAUCAAGCAUGUCAAUCACUUUAGACAUAGAAGAUGAGGAAUUAGGGAUGAUGACAGUUAUUUAACACUUUUGUAAUUCUUGAGUAAAUAAGAAAAAUAAUCCAAAAAACAGUCUUUAUACUGAAAUGGAUUUAUGUAUUUAAUUUUGCUUAACAAGGUGUGAAACGUACAGUACUCAGUUUAUAAAUGUGCGGCCUUUGUAGUAAAGCUUAGCAUCUCCUUUGGUAUAAACUUCUUUGCUUCUAUGCCUAUAUAACUUACUAACUUUAUAAGUAAUCUAAUAUUACAUCAGUUAAUUGAUGCAGUUCCUGAACCGAUGGUGCCUGUGUCCGCGAUUUUAAUUCAAUCAACUUCCAGAUCCAGUGCCAGGUCUGUAAAGAUAUCCCUGGCAGGUCAGGUCAAAAUCUGCACUGAAUACACUAGCUGCAAUGUAUUGCAUUGUCCCCUGGACACUCAGCUCCAAUACCCAAAAAUGAGAAAAAUAACUGUGAAUUGGCACUCACCACUGAGAAUUCACUCUGUGUUUGUGUCUGGGUAAAGAAGAAUAAGUAUGCUCACCAAUCCUCCCAUUUCCUCAUCCUUUUUAUAAGGGAUAAGGCUCCCUAUAAAUGGCUAUUAGAAACUGGUUUUAUGACCAGCAACUAUCACCUGAAAUUGUGCAUCCUGAAACUGUUAACUGUUGCUAGAAAUUAAUAAUCUGCCAUAGCCUCAAAGAAAACUAUGACUUUAUAAUACUGUCUUAUAUAUGGACGUUAUGUGUAUUUGUAAAAUAUGACUUUAAAUGUGUGUUUUAGGCUACUUUGCACAAGGGAGUUACACAGUAUUUUAAGAUGCUUUACUCUUAAACACAUUAAAAUAAAUAUUGUGUUAUUCUUGCAUAAACUGCAAAGAGUAAUGAGCACCCAGCAUUGCCUUAUCUUAUCCUGAAGCCAAUUUUGCUGUAACACUUCUUUAAGUUUCCACAUAGAAAUGGUAUGCAAAUUGAGACUGUUUGGGAAUGUAGGAGCCAAAUAAAGAUAACUGCAGAGACGCGUUUCCAGCAACAUAAGAAGGAUUGCAAAAGGCGUUUGGGAAAACACACAAACUUUUUCUACUUGUGGGCAAUUGUGUUUGAUACAUCUGUUCAACAACUGCACAGAGGAGCUGUAUAAAUAAAAGAGGCCUACAGCUCUCCAGCUCUUGCUGCACUAUUCCUACAAACAGAAGCUGCUACCUUCUGGCUCAUUGAGAACUCAGGGAAUUGUUGCUCAGCCAUAACUGAAGCAUCAGUGUUUGUGAUACUUCUAAUUUAGCCACUUGUCUCAUUGGUGAGAUGAGAGUCCAGAUGGUUCGUUUCUUGGAAAUGUCAAGUCUACUUCAAAGCAACAGAAAAAUGUUCUUGCCCAUUUCUAAAGAACUUGAAAGAGAAAUCUUCAUUUUCAGGAAUGAUGUAAGCUUUAAUGAUUAGUUCAACAGUGUAGAUUAUCCUUUGCCCCUAUACACAGGACUGGACACAAUGUAUAAAUCUCACAUACCAGCUUAAUUAUCUGUCUACUGCCACAAUUCAUCCAGGCCAAUGACUGGAAACAGAAGAGCAACUCAUUCAGUGAAGCCAUUUAACAUUCCUUAAUAAAAUAUAGAGACAUAACAAAAUUAGGUUUGGUUUCUUAAUGCGGAUUUUGCUAAAAGCUUUCGAAGCCUCAUAGACCUUUUCAAUGACUGAACAUGGGGAAUGAUACACUGGCACACACACAGCCAGUUCUGCACAUUUAGACUACAAGCAUAUAAGCAAAACUUUUUUCUCCCUAUCUGGAUAAAAUAAAGUAAAAAAGGGGUAUAUGUAUCAU